UCCAUCGCUUUAGUCAGAUAAAAUUUGUGGUCUUCUCUUCUGCAACUUUUAGAAAGGUAAGAUCUGAUAUCAUCGAUCAGCUCCACUGCAACUUCAAUUAGCUUCACUGUAACUUCAGGGAUAUAAAAUCUGUGUCUUCGAUUAAUUCCAGUCUUUAUUCUUUACUCGGCAUGUGAUCCUGAGCUUAACUCAUUUCUCGCAAUAUGAAUUGACUCUUUAAAACUAAACAUUAAAAACA
rnacentral:lncRNA from 1 species